UACGUAGGGUUCAAGCGUUAUCCGGAAUCACUGGGCGUAAAGCGUACGUAGGCGGAUGUUCACGUGUAAUGCGAAAUCUUGUGGCUCAACCAUAUAGACUGUAUUACAUACGGGACGUCUAGAGGACGGCAGAGGCAAGUGGAAUUUGUAGUGUAGCAGUGAAAUGCGUAGAUAUUACAAGGAACACCAAUGGCGAAGGCAGCUUGCUGGGCCGUAUCUGACGCUGAGGUACGAAAGCGUGGGGAGCGAACAGG
rnacentral:rRNA from 1 species